UGUGUUUCACAACUAUGGCCAGAUGCAACCUUUUGGUCUGUUUCAGGAAAAGACCUAUUAUUCCACUAACAAUUAUGCUGCCUUAGAAACAUAAUGGGAGUGUAAUUGAAGAAAGCAUGUCUCAGAAGGUUUUGAUAUGCAGAACUGGAAGCUAUUGUAAUUCCUACAUACAUUUCCAUUAGCUAUGCCUUAUGUAAUGUGAGUGCAGAUUUUUACAACUUAGAGUUCCCAUCAGUGUUUUUUUGCCACAUCACCGGGUUUCUUAUUUUACUGUUUUCUUUUCAACUUUGGGUGCUUUAUUUCCAUUCUCUAAAACUAAGUUUCUUGCUCUUACGAGACUUAGUGUUCCUUUUGAACCCAGGUGUUCCACCUGACAGUGUUUGUCUUUCAUAGACUUUCCAGAAUAGACAUAGUCAAGAUCAGACACGUGAGCUUCUCUCUCAUUUUAAUGUGAGGAAAAUCAUCUUUCAGAGACAAGGCACCGCUUAGAAAUGUAUGUCCAGGUAUGAAAGAACCUUUUUAAAAUGGCUGGUUGUUCCAGAUCCAGAUUUCUCUGCACACUGGACUUCGUAGAGUAAGUGUGGUAGACAAAGAGACUACACUGCACAACCACCAGUGAAUAUCAUUGCUAAGAAGACUUUGGGUCGUGUUUCUCAGCCACUCUCACAGCUUUUGUAGACUUAUUUGAUUUUGAAACAAGCAGUUAGCUAAAUCUAUUUUCCUUUUAUGCAUAUAUGUUAAUUGGCUCAACUUAAUAUGGUGUUCUUACAGAAUAUGAGCCCAUUUGAAAUAAGGUUUUAGGCAAUUUUGCUGUUGGCUCUGAUUUGUAUAUAGCAAAUUUAAAGUUACAGAGUGUUUCCUAGAUAGAAGAUUAGUUCAUUUGGUUCAUUUUGUCUUUGAAGCAAGCCAAGCUCAUGAGCCAGUUGGUUAUUUGUCAUAAAUGAACACCCAUCACUAUAUGCUAUGUUGAGGGGAGGCAAGUCUGAUCUUCGAAUAAUUGAUAAAGUUUAAUAUCUUUGUAGCCAAAAUACAAUUUGCAAACCCUAACUCCAGAUGUGUCGUAUGAAUCUUGACAACCAGGUCUUGAGAUUUGUUUUACUGAUUGCCAAUCAGGUAUAUUAUUUGUGAUGUUCGUGGGAGCAUGCAAAUUAGAAGACAGUGUUGUGGGAGUUCCUCAGUAUUGAAUUACAUGUGUGCACUCAGGCCUGCCAGUCACUGAAUUCUGACUUGUAAAGGGUUUAACCUGCUGUUCCAAUCAUUGAGGACCAAUUUGCUUUUUGAUAAGAUUGGAAAACAUUUAUGGAGACUUUCCCAGUUAAAUCUAUGACAGUGUCCACUUAAAUAGUGCAAUUUAGUAUAUUCUCAGAUAACUGCAACACAAAAUUGAAAUGUGCCAGUAUGUCAUCUUUCUACCUGGAAGAUACUGUAUAUUUGGAAAGUUUAUGCUUCUCUCAAUAAAUACAUGUUAUUAAAUAAGCCAUAUCACAGUUUAAGAAAUUGUAUAUACUUUAUCAUAUGCCCUUUCAGAAACCAGGUAUUUUGCAUAUGAUUGAUUUUAGAAAGAUUUUGAAGCUGGGGUUUGUCCAUGUUAAUUAAGAUCAAAGUAUAUAUAUAUAUAUAUAUAUGUGCUGUAUUUGCAACUUUCACAUUGUAAUUUCCUAUACACUUAUUAAAGUAUUGUUUUGCCAUGUGGUUUAUUAAAUAAAAAUGUACAGUCUCUUAAAUAUCUGCUCUUUUUAUUAAGUAAUAUUAGUAGGCCUAAAAACAUUGUUCUUAAAAGAAAAUCUUUUAUAAUUAUAAUGUCAUUUUAUAAUGCCCUCUUAUAUGUUUAAGAAAUAAAACUGAAAAAAAUC
rnacentral:lncRNA from 10 species